rnacentral:rRNA from 1 species
UACGAAGGGUGCAAACGUUGCUCGGAAUUAUUGGGCGUAAAGCGCACGUAGGCGGCUUGGCAAGUCGGAUGUGAAAUCCCUCGGCUCAACCUAGGAAGUGCACUCGAAACUUCCGAGCUGGAGUUCUGGAGAGGAAGGCGGAAUUCUCGGUGUAGAGGUGAAAUUCGUAGAUAUCGAGAGGAACACCGGUGGCGAAGGCGGCCUUCUGGACAGCAACUGACGCUGAGACGCGAAAGCGUGGGGAGCAAACAGG